GACGAACGCUGGCGGCGUGCUUAACACAUGCAAGUCGAACGAUGAAGCCUAGCUUGCUAGGUGGAUUAGUGGCGAACGGGUGAGUAAUAUGUGAGUGACCUACCUUUGACUCUGGGAUAAGCCUGGGAAACUGGGUCUAAUACCGGAUACGACCAAUCUCCGCAUGGGGUGUUGGUGGAAAGCGUUAUGGAGUGGUUUUAGAUGGGCUCACGGCCUAUCAGCUUGUUGGUGAGGUAAUGGCUUACCAAGGCGACGACGGGUAGCUGGCCUGAGAGGGUGACCGGCCACACUGGGACUGAGACACGGCCCAGACUCCUACGGGAGGCAGCAGUGGGGAAUAUUGCACAAUGGGCGCAAGCCUGAUGCAGCGACGCCGCGUGAGGGAUGACGGCCUUCGGGUUGUAGACCUCUGUUAGCAUCGAAGAAGCGAAAGUGACGGUAGGUGCAGAGAAAGCGCCGGCUAACUACGUGCCAGCAGCCGCGGUAAUACGUAGGGCGCGAGCGUUGUCCGGAAUUAUUGGGCGUAAAGAGCUUGUAGGCGGUUGGUCGCGUCUGCUGUGAAGGCUGGGGCUUAACCCUGGUUUUGCAGUGGGUACGGGCUAACUAGAGUGCAGUAUGGGAGACUGGAAUUCCUGGUGUAGCGGUGGAAUGCGCAGAUAUCAGGAGGAACACCGAUGGCGAAGGCAGGUCUCUGGGCUGUAACUGACGCUGAGAAGCGAAAGCAUGGGGAGCGAACAGGAUUAGAUACCCUGGUAGUCCAUGCCGUAAACGUUGGGCACUAGGUGUGGGGGACAUUCCACGUUUUCCGCGCCGUAGCUAACGCAUUAAGUGCCCCGCCUGGGGAGUACGGCCGCAAGGCUAAAACUCAAAGAAAUUGACGGGGGCCCGCACAAGCGGCGGAGCAUGCGGAUUAAUUCGAUGCAACGCGAAGAACCUUACCAAGGCUUGACAUAUACUGGACUGCGUCAGAGAUGGCGUUUCCCUUCGGGGCUGGUAUACAGGUGGUGCAUGGUUGUCGUCAGCUCGUGUCGUGAGAUGUUGGGUUAAGUCCCGCAACGAGCGCAACCCUCGUUCUAUGUUGCCAGCACGUGAUGGUGGGGACUCAUAGGAGACUGCCGGGGUUAACUCGGAGGAAGGUGGGGAUGACGUCAAAUCAUCAUGCCCCUUAUGUCUUGGGCUUCACGCAUGCUACAAUGGCCGGUACAGAGGGUUGCGAUACUGUGAGGUGGAGCUAAUCCCUAAAAGCCGGUCUCAGUUCGGAUUGGGGUCUGCAACUCGACCCCAUGAAGUCGGAGUCGCUAGUAAUCGCAGAUCAGCAACGCUGCGGUGAAUACGUUCCCGGGCCU
rnacentral:rRNA from 1 species